rnacentral:lncRNA from 1 species
GGCUGAGAUGCACCUGGAUAUCUAGAACUUUCAGGGUAUCUGAAUCAAUCAGAUCCUUGCUUACACUAUCUAUAUCUGGAGCUAUGAUUUUUGGAUAUCUAGAGGCUGGAUAUUAGUCUAAAUAUUAAGCUAACAGUGAAUAUUCAUAUUUGGAUACAGAUCCAUACAAUAAUAUUAAAAUAUUUAAAAUAAUAUUAAACUAAAUUUAUAUAACAUCAUAUAGAUGAAACUAAUUUUUUCUACAAAAUAUAAUAUUUCAAAAAGUAAAAGUGGUACUAAAAAUAAUUAUAAAUAUAUUGAUAAAACUUGAUGUUAUCUUUCAAAAAGCCUAUUAAAAUACAUUCUAAAUAUACUUAUAAAAUCUAGAUAUGGAUAUUCAGACUUCAAAAUCAAAAUAGUCAGACUUCAAAAUCAAGAUAUCUGAUUUUAAAAUCAAGAUAUUUGGAUUUGGAUACUGUUUUUAUAAUCUGAGAUUCUAUUACACGGAUCCAACCUUCUAGAUAUUUGGAUAUUUAGAAUGCAUCCGAGUGGAUAUCAGGUCGGGUCCCAAAUCUUUGGAUACUGUUCCAUCCCUAUCUAUAACAAAUUUCAAAGUUUGUUAGAUGAUUUCUAAUUGAUUCUAAUCUGAUUUUUGUGUCAUGUAAUCAUUUCUAUUUUGGCCUAAAGAUAAAGUUUUAUAGCACCACAAAGACGUAAUCUUUAUAUUUAAAUGUUAUCACGACUAAUUUACCCCCGCGAGUGCGGUGUCGGAGCAUGUAUGGCAUUUAGACCCAUAGGUGUCACCACGGCACUGGAGCAUGACGGUGACAGAAUCAGGAGUUGUUCCUAUACUUGUGUGUGUGAAACCAGUCUCAGCAUGAGUUUCAUCACGCAUGAUGUGGAAGGCGUGGUUGAGGUUUUCUUCGUACUUACUCCCUGAGCUAUAUUUCCCUUGAUCAAAGAGGCAUCUGUGGUUGAGAUACUCAUUGGUAAGGUUCAGUGACAAAACACUAUGUAUGCUGAGGAAAGGCAAUGCCAAAAUAAAGAAAACAAAUCGUUUAGAUAGAGAGAAUGAAAAUUUCAUUGUUUUAGAUUUUUAUUCUUUUUCAGUAAAAGAUGAUUUUGAUAAAUGAAGUGUUGCUUUUAACAUAUUUAUAUAGGAGACUCGGGAGGAUUUUAAUUAAUUGUUCACUGGACAGAAAAGAAAAAAGUUUGUACAUUUUCGGCGGCAGAAAUGGAGAGACAAAGAAAAAGUCUAAAUUCUGAAUGUUCUACUAUAUUUAAACUCUUAAGAACAUGAUGAUGAUACUAAUUUUUUCGUGCACCACUCAUGAACUAAAUGGACUUUGUAAUAUGUUCUGAUUUUGUAAGUAUAUUAAGUAUUUUGCAAAUAGGCUCUUAUUUAAAAAAAAAACUGACUUAAAUCUAAUUAAAAUUUGCUAAAACUAUAUGUUGACUUAGGCUUGGGCACCUUUGGCACAUGCUAAACCCGGCACAUACUCUAUGUAAGGAUUUACAUUUCUCUCUUUACCUUAUCAACUAGAUAAUAACCCGCGCCUUGCGCGGAAUGUGAUUAUUAGUUUCGUUAUUUUUUAAUAAGGAUACAUUAAUUUGUUUAAUCUGGAUAUCGGUUCGAUUUUAGGUUGUUUUUUGGUUUUUAAUCUCCUAAAAUAUAACUAUCAUUUUAAAUCAAUAUUUAUUUGGUUUGUUCGGUUAAAAUAUUUGAUGUUUUUGGUUCUUUUUCCUGUGAUAAUCAAAAAUUACUAUUAUUUGUUUGUUUUCAUGUAUUAAAUCUUAGAUAGUCGUGAUCUCGAACCAAUAGUUUCAUAUUAUAGUUUCUAAACUGAUAAUAGUUAAAAAAAAAAUUAUUAAGACAAAUCAUUUUACUACAAUUUAGUCGAUAAUGAAAGAAGCACUAAGAAAAAGAAUAUUUUAACUUCCAAAAAAAUUAGAUAUUUCAGUUGUUGUAAAUACUUAGUUAUAAGGUGCUCACGUUAAUGCGCACAUGUAUGUGUAUGUAAAAGUAUAUAAAGAUAGUUGAUAAAUAUAUAAAGAUAUUGUUAAUUAAUAUUAAAUGAUAUUUUUUUCAAAAUAAUACAUGAAAAAUAAAAUUCUUUAAAUGAAAUUAUUUAAAAACAAAAAUAUUGUAAUAUUUAUAUAAACUAUAAUAUAUAACUUAUAUAUAAUUCUUUAAAUAUAUGUAUAUAUAUGCAUAUAACGGAUCAAAUUGGAUAUCCGUUCCUAUAAAUAUUGAUAUUUGUGAUUUGUUUUUUUUUUCACGGAUAUUGCAUUUUAGGAUUUGAUUUGCUUCGUAGAGUAACAGAUAUCCGGAUUUUUUGGUUCGAAUCAAAACGGAUAACGAAUCGAAACAAAAUUUAUGAAUAAUUUGUCCAGCUCUAUUCGUAAACAGUAAAAAUAACGUAAAGAAAACCAUACAUGUGAGUUUUAUAUUAAAAAAACGUAAAGUACAUAGGGUGAACAUAUUUAUGUAGAGUUUGGCUGAGAAGCUUUCUACAUGUGACAUGUGUCCAUUAUAGUGUGAACACAUUUAUUACAAUGGUUCUAAACGUGACAUGUGUCCAAUUUAGUGUGAACGCAUUUAUUAAAAUAUUUCUCUUUUAAUAUAUAAGGAAUAUAAAACUAUUUUUUUAAGUAGGAAAAAUAAACAGAGUAAGUGGAAUAAGAAGAGACACUCCUCGUUUCAGAAACAUUUUAGCUGGCUAUGUUUAAUCUUUAAGUGGUUGAAAUUGUUUUUAUUUACUACUCCUAUUAUAUAAUUUAUCUAUAUUAUCAUUAUAUGUUUUUAGAUACCCGUGAAAAAGCUCUCCCAACAACAAUGCUCUAAUAAGAUCACAAAUUAUACUCCCUCUUUUUUUUUUGCCUGGGGUAUUCAAAAUCUAUAAAAAGGCUCAUACUAUUUUCAAAAAGAGAUGCAAUCCACGGAUGGAUUCUUUUUCUUCAGGUAUUUAAAUGGAUCCUAAGCAAUGAGUCUUAUUUUAUAGCCACAUGUAGAGUUAGCAAUUUCGUAUUGAAGAGAAUCGGUUCCUAACCUAGACCAAUAUAACGACUCUUUAUAUGUUGGAAUUCACUAUACAAAUACGAUAUGAUCACAAAUUAUUUCUUCUGCUUCAAAAAAGAAAUACAUGUUGUAGAGUUUUAAAAAUAAAACAUAUUAAUUUUUUAAUUAUAAAUUUAUUAUUUUUUGUAUUAAACUAUUUUCAAUAAUUUUUAGCCAAUAUAAAUUCAAUAGCACAACUAAUUUUGUUGAAGUUUACAAUUUACCAUUAUUAUUUAAUAGAACUGUAUUGAACAUGUAAAAAAUAAUAUCUCUUAGAAACAAAUAUAUUUUACAGAUCUUUUUGUUAAAUAGAAAGUACUAUUUUAUAUUAACUGCUAAACUGAAAGACAUAUUAAAUGUCGGGAAUUUCACUAAUAAGUGUAAUUAAUCUAAUUUAUUAUCCUUUUAACAUAAAACCAAUUUAUUGAAAUACUAAAAGAAUUUGGAAAAUUAUUAAACAUGAUAUUAACAUAUAUGUAAACUUAUAAAAAAAUAUUUCUGUGAUGAAAUUAUAUCUAAAUACCAUCUACGACAUUUUGGAAAUGUAAAUCUACUGAAAACACAACAAUCUGUUCGAUUUAGAAUACUUAAUAUAGCGUAUGUAAAUUCAUCUACCUCAUCAAAGAGUAUACACUGUACAAUUACUCUUAUGUUCAGAAAGACAGUAAGUAAAGACGUCUAAACUUUAUGCACCGGUCUUCUAUUAUUGAUGUCUAUAUUUAGGGCAAUUCUUUCAAAUAGUCUAAAUUUUUGUUAUUAAAAGAACCCGGAAAAAGAAAACUGACUAAAAUUUUUCAUUGAAUAGGCAAAAAAUCUUUAUAUAUCUUGCAUUAAAAAUUUAUAAAUUUAUAAAUAUAAAUAAAUUAUAAAUUAUAAAAAAUAAUAGUUUUGGAUUAUAUAUUUCCAAGUUCAGACUUUUUUUAUCCUUUUUCAAUUGAACUUUCAAAAAAAAAAUCAAAUUUCUUAUUUUUCUUAAAUGCAUAAAUGCUUUUUAAAAUAUAUUUUUUUUAAAGUAUUUUGAAAUUUUUAAUAUUUAUUUAUUUUUUAAAUUAAAUUUUAAACAAUGCCCUCAAAACUUCACUCUUUAAUUCUAAACAUUAAAUCUUGAUUAAUUAAUGAGAAAAAUAUCAGGAUAGCACCAAACCAAGUUUUUGUUCCCAAACUAGCAAUCAAAGCUCAAAGUCACAAAAAUAUGUUUCAUUAAAGAGGUAAAUAUACACUUAUACCCCUUGGGUUAAUUAAUCCAAACCUUAGGGUUUAGAGUUAAGGGGUGGGUUUUGGAAUUAUGGUUUAAAAUUUUAUAAAAUAAAACAUAAAUACUAAAAAAUUUAAAAAAAAAUUUUAAAAACAGUUUCAAAAAGUAUUUUUGAAUUAUAAAAAGAAAAUUUGAAAAAAAAACUUUAAAAAAAAUUCAAAAAAAAAUUUUCAAAAAAAAAAUUAUAAAAAUUUCGAAUCUGAAAACAUAUAAUCUAAAACUAUAAAAAAAAUUCUUUUUUUAUUUUUUAUUUUUUAUUUUUAUUUUAUUUGUUUUUAUUUAUUUUUGUUUGUUUAUUUAAUUUUAAACCAUGGGUAUUAGAGAUAUUUUACCUUUUAAUGAAUGUCAUUUUUGUGACUUUCUUCUUCUAGUGUCAUUUUUGAGACAAAAACUCAAAAGAUGCUAUUAUUGACAAUUGCCCUUAAUUAAUCUUAAAUGUAUAUUUUAUUUUUUAUUUUUAAUGAAACUUGUUUUCGUCAUUUUCUUUCAUAUGAGGUUUUUUGGUGAAAAUAAACAAAAUAGGAUAUCAUAGAAAAUUGGGAGUUUUAUAGCACCACAAAGACGUAAUCUUUAUAUUUAAAUGUUAUCACGACUAAUUUACCCCCGCGAGUGCGGUGUCGGAGCAUGUAUGGCAUUUAGACCCAUAGGUGUCACCACGGCACUGGAGCAUGACGGUGACAGAAUCAGGAGUUGUUCCUAUACUUGUGUGUGUGAAACCAGUCUCAGCAUGAGUUUCAUCACGCAUGAUGUGGAAGGCGUGGUUGAGGUUUUCUUCGUACUUACUCCCUGAGCUAUAUUUCCCUUGAUCAAAGAGGCAUCUGUGGUUGAGAUACUCAUUGGUAAGGUUCAGUGACAAAACACUAUGUAUGCUGAGGAAAGGCAAUGCCAAAAUAAAGAAAACAAAUCGUUUAGAUAGAGAGAAUGAAAAUUUCAUUGUUUUAGAUUUUUAUUCUUUUUCAGUAAAAGAUGAUUUUGAUAAAUGAAGUGUUGCUUUUAACAUAUUUAUAUAGGAGACUCGGGAGGAUUUUAAUUAAUUGUUCACUGGACAGAAAAGAAAAAAGUUUGUACAUUUUCGGCGGCAGAAAUGGAGAGACAAAGAAAAAGUCUAAAUUCUGAAUGUUCUACUAUAUUUAAACUCUUAAGAACAUGAUGAUGAUACUAAUUUUUUCGUGCACCACUCAUGAACUAAAUGGACUUUGUAAUAUGUUCUGAUUUUGUAAGUAUAUUAAGUAUUUUGCAAAUAGGCUCUUAUUUAAAAAAAAAACUGACUUAAAUCUAAUUAAAAUUUGCUAAAACUAUAUGUUGACUUAGGCUUGGGCACCUUUGGCACAUGCUAAACCCGGCACAUACUCUAUGUAAGGAUUUACAUUUCUCUCUUUACCUUAUCAACUAGAUAAUAACCCGCGCCUUGCGCGGAAUGUGAUUAUUAGUUUCGUUAUUUUUUAAUAAGGAUACAUUAAUUUGUUUAAUCUGGAUAUCGGUUCGAUUUUAGGUUGUUUUUUGGUUUUUAAUCUCCUAAAAUAUAACUAUCAUUUUAAAUCAAUAUUUAUUUGGUUUGUUCGGUUAAAAUAUUUGAUGUUUUUGGUUCUUUUUCCUGUGAUAAUCAAAAAUUACUAUUAUUUGUUUGUUUUCAUGUAUUAAAUCUUAGAUAGUCGUGAUCUCGAACCAAUAGUUUCAUAUUAUAGUUUCUAAACUGAUAAUAGUUAAAAAAAAAAUUAUUAAGACAAAUCAUUUUACUACAAUUUAGUCGAUAAUGAAAGAAGCACUAAGAAAAAGAAUAUUUUAACUUCCAAAAAAAUUAGAUAUUUCAGUUGUUGUAAAUACUUAGUUAUAAGGUGCUCACGUUAAUGCGCACAUGUAUGUGUAUGUAAAAGUAUAUAAAGAUAGUUGAUAAAUAUAUAAAGAUAUUGUUAAUUAAUAUUAAAUGAUAUUUUUUUCAAAAUAAUACAUGAAAAAUAAAAUUCUUUAAAUGAAAUUAUUUAAAAACAAAAAUAUUGUAAUAUUUAUAUAAACUAUAAUAUAUAACUUAUAUAUAAUUCUUUAAAUAUAUGUAUAUAUAUGCAUAUAACGGAUCAAAUUGGAUAUCCGUUCCUAUAAAUAUUGAUAUUUGUGAUUUGUUUUUUUUUUCACGGAUAUUGCAUUUUAGGAUUUGAUUUGCUUCGUAGAGUAACAAAAUAUUAAGCUAACAGUGAAUAUUCAUAUUUGGAUACAGAUCCAUACAAUAAUAUUAAAAUAUUUAAAAUAAUAUUAAACUAAAUUUAUAUAACAUCAUAUAGAUGAAACUAAUUUUUUCUACAAAAUAUAAUAUUUCAAAAAGUAAAAGUGGUACUAAAAAUAAUUAUAAAUAUAUUGAUAAAACUUGAUGUUAUCUUUCAAAAAGCCUAUUAAAAUACAUUCUAAAUAUACUUAUAAAAUCUAGAUAUGGAUAUUCAGACUUCAAAAUCAAAAUAGUCAGACUUCAAAAUCAAGAUAUCUGAUUUUAAAAUCAAGAUAUUUGGAUUUGGAUACUGUUUUUAUAAUCUGAGAUUCUAUUACACGGAUCCAACCUUCUAGAUAUUUGGAUAUUUAGAAUGCAUCCGAGUGGAUAUCAGGUCGGGUCCCAAAUCUUUGGAUACUGUUCCAUCCCUAUCUAUAACAAAUUUCAAAGUUUGUUAGAUGAUUUCUAAUUGAUUCUAAUCUGAUUUUUGUGUCAUGUAAUCAUUUCUAUUUUGGCCUAAAGAUAAAGUUUUAUAGCACCACAAAGACGUAAUCUUUAUAUUUAAAUGUUAUCACGACUAAUUUACCCCCGCGAGUGCGGUGUCGGAGCAUGUAUGGCAUUUAGACCCAUAGGUGUCACCACGGCACUGGAGCAUGACGGUGACAGAAUCAGGAGUUGUUCCUAUACUUGUGUGUGUGAAACCAGUCUCAGCAUGAGUUUCAUCACGCAUGAUGUGGAAGGCGUGGUUGAGGUUUUCUUCGUACUUACUCCCUGAGCUAUAUUUCCCUUGAUCAAAGAGGCAUCUGUGGUUGAGAUACUCAUUGGUAAGGUUCAGUGACAAAACACUAUGUAUGCUGAGGAAAGGCAAUGCCAAAAUAAAGAAAACAAAUCGUUUAGAUAGAGAGAAUGAAAAUUUCAUUGUUUUAGAUUUUUAUUCUUUUUCAGUAAAAGAUGAUUUUG